rnacentral:lncRNA from 1 species
UCUUUAUGUUCGUAAAUAUUAAAUCACAAAAGAUUCUCGUUAUUUUAAUUAUACUAUAUCUUAAAAUUUUUUUUUCUUAAAGCAAGAUACAUAUUCAUGACUUUCAAUCACGACAAGGAUGAAUGUACUGUUAUUCGAAUUGUAAAUCUUCGCAAAACUCAGCUGUAUACUCGGUCUAUAUAUGAUAUAUAUAUAUAUAUAUGUAUAUGUAUAUGCGACAUGUGUCGAUAAAUCGCGAUGCUCUUCGACGAACGAGAAAUAUCUGUGAAACUGACCAAAAAAAUAACAUAAAAUUUUAAAAAAGUGUGAAAUGAAAUCGAAAAGAAAUAAAAAGAAAGAAGAAAAAGCGUUUAAUGAAAGAACGAAAAAAUGGAAAAAUCGUAGAGCGAAAAAUAGAAAAAAAACAAAUUAAAAACUAAAAUUAAAUAAACAAAACGUUCAAGAUUCUAGUUAGAGAUUCUAAAAGAAAUUCUAGAUCGAAAUGUCUAGGAAGAAUGAAUCUAGUCUUUUGUAAACGAUGAAUACAAGAAUAUUGUAUAUUUUGAAAAUUACGAGCUAGAAAUGUCUCAAUGCGUAGAUAGAGGACAAUAUUAACAAAUAUGUCAUAUUCUACUCUAAUUGAAAGUAAUGGAACACAUGCAUACACGAAAUGUACGAAAUACAUUCACCAAGUCCAGUCACUUCACGUAUAUAAAUACAACCACGUGAUCAAAAUCUAGAGGAAUUCAAUUCUGAGAAAUUGAAAAUUACUUUUCAUAUUAAUUUCACAUUAAUUUAAUUGCGGAAUUUUUUGUUAAUAUAAACAUAAAUUAAGUUACAAAUUUGUUAAUACUCAUUUUCGUUAAUAAUAAUAAACAAAUGAUGUGAUAAAACUUGACGUCAACCGCCAACCAAUAGAAAUUAUAAAAUCUAUCACGUGAUUUGGUUUAUUUAUUUCUAGUAACCUGACUUGGUGAACAUAGUAUAGUGUAUACAUAUACACUAAUUAUAUACACAAACGUAUAUAAAAUACGUUACACGGAUACAUGAUAUGAAUUAGUGCAUAUUUUUAAUAAAUGGAUAAAAAUAAAGUUGAAAAUUUUCUGAUCAAUCCGUGAAUCGAUCGAUUCGAUGCGGGAUCACGUUCGUCGCGAUGCGAGCCACUAUUGUAAUUUUCUCGUUUCUAUUUUCUUGUUUUCGACACACGUCUAUCAUCCUGUGUGCAGUGACAGUGACCAUAUUAAUUAUUAACGGGAGAAUAUUAUCUCCUGUAUAAUAAUAAUUGUCAAUGAUAAAAUUGAAGUGUGAAAAUAAAUUGAUUUUUCAGUCAUAAAAAUAAUUAUGAUUUCUGAUUUUAUCAAAUUUUAUUUGAAGGAAAUUCUGAAAAAAUAUUAUUGAAUAUAAAAUUUUAAUUAUUUUUUAUUUCUUAUUUUUAACUAAAAUUUCUAUUAUUAGACUUUUACUAGAAUUUUUUUUUUUGUUAAAAAGAAGUAACAAUAUUAGAAAAUUUGAUUAAAAUAAAAUCUACAAUAAAAAAGAAUUUUGGUAUACUUGUGAUUAAAUAAUAGACUUGAUUUCAAUUUUCACUUUAUUGAAUCUGUUUUUAAAAUCUAAUUUCUUCUUGCUUGUGUACCACCAUAACGAACAACUGAAGAGACGAUUGUCCACCUGGUCAUCGAGACGGUCGAAUGUGUGGUCGAGGAAGGUUGUGUACUGGAAGCUGUCGUCGACUGUGGUGUAGAUGUUGACGGUGAACUCACGACAACAACAGGCUUCACCAGCGUGGUUGUAUUGAUAUACUGAGCGUUCACGAUCGGCAUUUGUGCCACAGAUUUUAAAAUUGGGGUGGUUAUCAUUUUGCCCGCAAGGCUGGAGGGGGCUAGGAUAUGAGCAGUCACUUGAUUUCCUUGCGAAACAACGGUCAUCGGCGUGACAAUUGGUGUCAAACCGGAAAGGGGUGUGUGCGGACCAACAAUGUGAGCUAUACCCUCUGUGGACGGAGCGUUUUGCAUCACUGUCGAACCUGGUUUACCUGUUGUGGUUUGAAGCGACACUCCUGUGUGGCUCAGCGUCAAUCCUGCAACCCAUAGAGAGUGCACAAAUGUAACUGGCCUGACGUCAUUGGCGGACGACUGCACGGCUAGGGCCAACGGCCUGUCGUUGUUGGAUAGAUUAGAAUGCACGAUCGUUACCCUGUUGUCGUUGGCCGUGGACGAGUGAACGACCAACGCUACGGGCCUUGGCUCACUUCCAGUGUUCGAUUGCACGGCAAUGAGCGGCCUCGAUUGAUCCGACGAGUUUUGCACGGCUAACGUGAGCGGCCUGGACUCGUUAUUGCCAGCUGUGUGAGUAACCAGAAGUUGCCUUGUGUCACCGGGUAUCACCCUCAAACUCGGUCCGAUGUGUUGAAGCGUUGGGACGAUGGUUGGUAAACCUUGACUCGUGUUCAAUAUCUGAGCGUUGAUCGGUAAGUGCAGCUGGUGCGGCUGCUGUACUAUACCCGUUGGUGAAGUAUUAACUUUCUCCUAAAAUGGAAAUUUAUUAUACGUUAUUAUACGAAGAUACAUUAAUCUUUGAACCUUUUGAACAAGGAAAAUAAUUUUUAUUCUUAUAUUUGAAAAUAUUCUUAAAUAAAAGAUACUAAAUU